GCCCUAGACAAUAUCUAAGGUGAAACCUGCCCAAUGAUUUUUAAUUAAAAUAAAUAAUAUUUAUGAAAUAAAAUUUAAAGGACGCGGUAACCUUGACCGUGAUAAUGUAGCAUAAUCAUUCGCCAUUUAAUUGAUGGAUAGUAUGAACGGUUAAACGAAUAUUUCACUGUCUUAAAAAGAAAUACCUAAAAAUUAGAAUAAUAGUAAAGAUACUAUUUAAAAUUGUAAGACGAAAAGACCCUAUAGAGCUUAACUAUAAACUCUUUUAUAAAUAAUAAAAAAUUUACAAAAUAAAGAGAUUGGUAGUUUAGUUGGGGCGACUAUCUUUUAAAAAAAACAAAGAUAAGCAAAGUUAAUAAAAAAAUACUUACUGUAUAAUUUAUAAAUUUAACAGUUAUAAAAAUAGGCUAUAAUGACCCGUUAUUAUUAAAUAAAAAAAAAUAACGAUCAAUAAAUAAAAGCUACCUUAGGGAUAACAGGAUAAUUUUAUCUUAGAGACCUAAUCGAAGAUAAAGUUUGUCACCUCUAUGUUGAAUUAAGAUAUCCUGAUAAUGCAGAAAUUAUCAAGGGUAGGUCUGUUCGACCUUUAAAAUCUU
rnacentral:rRNA from 1 species